rnacentral:lncRNA from 1 species
AAGGGUGAACACACACAAAAAAAACAAAAGGGUAAAAAAGAAAAAGGGUGAACACACACAAAAAAACAAAAGGGUAAAAAAGAAAAAGGGUGCCCGGAGAGAUUGCUCACAACCUCCUGCCUACGUAUCUCAUCUGGUAUGAGAAUCAGGGCGACCUAGUUCCCCUUACAAGGGGUAAAACACUCUCCUAACCAGAGACCAGGGAGACAACAAACUAAUAGGGAGACUAAGACUCGAUCCUACUAG